rnacentral:rRNA from 1 species
GACGAACUGUGCAAACGUUAUUCGGAAUCACUGGGCUUGAAGAGUGCGUAGGCGGUUUCGUAAGUAGGGUGUGAAAGCCCCCAGCUCAACUGGGGAACUGCGUCCUAAACUGCGAGGCUGGAGUGAGGUAGGGGUGUGUGGAACUUCCGGUGGAGCGGUGAAAUGUGUUGAUAUCAUCAGGAAUACCGGAGGCGAAGGCGGCUCACUGGGGGUCUUCUGACGCUGAGGAACGAAAGCCAGGGGAGCGAACGGG